UACGUAGGGCGCAAGCGUUGUCCGGAAUUAUUGGGCGUAAAGAGCUCGUAGGUGGCUUGUCACGUCGGGUGUGAAAGCUUGGGGCUUAACUCCAGGUCUGCAUUCGAUACGGGCUGGCUAGAGGUAGGUAGGGGAGAACGGAAUUCCUGGUGUAGCGGUGAAAUGCGCAGAUAUCAGGAGGAACACCUGCGGCGAAGGCGGGUUGCUGGGCUGACACUGACGCUGAGGCGCGAAAGCCAGGGGAGCGAACGGG
rnacentral:rRNA from 1 species